AGAGGUCGAUACAAAUCCAAAAAUCUAUUCGGCUUGCUGUCAUAAUUUUCAUCUGAGUGAAUCUUCGGCCAUAAGUUUUAACAAAAAUUAAGCCAAAAUAAAAGAAUCGUCUCAAUUCAAAGGAUCUCGAUCUAGUUGAUAUUUAAACUCUAGUCUAGAGUUUACAACAGAUAUUUCUGGUUGACUUAAUAGCUCUCAAGUGUCCCUAUUUUUUGUUUUUAACGAGAUAAUAGGUAGUAAACACAAUCACAAUGAGUGAUUGGAAAAUCCAGCGAGAUGAAGUUUUGAAACUAAUAAAUUUGUAUAGACAAAAUAAAUGCUUGUGGGAUUAUAGAAAUAGCGAGUAUAAACGAACUGACUUAAAGAGGGAUGCUUGGCAAAAAUUGUCCGAUGCUUUCGGAAAAGAAAUUAAUGAAGUGAAGAGAAAAAUAAAACAUUUACGUUCCUCCUACGUGAGUGAAAAGAAAAAGGUUGAUGAAUUUUGCGGAGUUGCUCCGGCCUAUCGCCCUAAUCUAUUUUAUUACGAUGACAUGAGUUUUCUAGAUCCAGUAAUAGUGCUGAGAAAAACGCUAACGUUCGAAAAAUUUGAAAAUGCGGAUCCCAUAGCGGAUUAUAGCGAAGAACACCUAGAGAAUACAAUGAGCGAACAUUAUAUUACCGAGGAAGAGGUAGCGACGCCACCAAUGUCUCCUAAAAGGCCUACUGAAACGCACCACAGGUCAAAGAAGAAGCUUCAUAGACUAGCUCCGUACUAUUCAAAGCUAAAUGAUGCAGUGAAUACACUUGCCGACAUUUCAAAAAGUACCUAUGAGGACACAGUGUAUACAGCGUUUGGAAAAACAAUAGCAUUACAGCUUAGUCAGCUUUCACCACUAGAAGCAACAGUUACAAUGUCCGAAAUACACCAAGUUUUAUCGAAAAACAUUAUAAAUGCGAUGAUACCAAAGUGCAGAGACAAAUCGUACAGAGGCUCAAGAGAAACCUUGAGUCAUAUGGACAGAAAAUUAUCCUUUUCACUGCGGGAAUCGAUCGAAAACGAAGCAGACGAUCAGUCGUGUGAUUUUGAUGAAGUUUGAAAUCUUUAUUGUUCAAUUAUUUAUUUGUUGUAUUUUUGUUUGAGUAAUAUACAUAUGCUUAGAAAAGUAAUGUGAAUGCGAAAAUUCGGUUUUAUUUAAUUAACCGUCAUUACAAGAGAAAGUUUAUUAAUUCAUCUGUAAUUUAUACAAUUAAAUUUGUACACCCCAUUUUUUUUUGUGAAAAUUAAAUCAAAUUUUAUUUAGUUAUUAGUUUUAUACCUACAUAAGUAAAAUUGUUUACUUUUUGAAAAAGUUUCAACGGAAAAUAAACUCAGUUUAUUCGUGGGAUUCCAUUACCGAGUACGACGAACGGCAACCAGGAGAAGCUACUCUAAGUGAGCAAGAUGUAACCGUUGAAGAUGUGAUAUUGCCACCCCACCCACUGCCGACAACUCUGAAGACAGCUGAAUCACAUUUCAAGGCCAGAAAAGAAAAACGCAGACUAUCACCAUAUUAUUCAAAGUUGGAUGCUGCAGUUAAUAAUCUUGAAGAGGCCACAAAAUCAAGUCCUGAGGACUCCAUAUACACUGCAUUUGCCAAGAUAGUAGAGAUGCAACUGAGCCAGCUUACGCUACUUGAUGCAACCGCUGCUAUGUCCGAAAUUCACCAGAUAUUAUCAAAGAGCAUCAUUAAGUCCAUGUUGUCAAACAAUAGAACCAAUAGAGAAAUAGAUGUGGACCUUGUAGACAAAAAACAAACCGUUCUUACAGGACCAAUCGAGAAUAAUUUACCAGACGAAUUUGAAGAAGUAUCUAUAUAAUAUUUAUUUGCCAAAUAUAGUUAAGUUAGUUGAAAU